rnacentral:misc_RNA from 1 species
UACUCUCACACUCUCUGAUCCUUUGGAUUCAGGGAGCGGUGGACUUGGGUGCUUGCUGCUUUCCUGGUGGCUCACCUCAAAUGCGUUAGUGCACCUCUUGGUUGGACAUAGUACGGCGUGAUAAGUAUCUUCGCCGGCACCUCGCAAGAGGGUGGCCGAUUGGGAGCUCUGUGCUUUCAAACCGUCUUCGGACAAUCUCUGACA